rnacentral:rRNA from 1 species
GACAGAGGCCUCAAGCGUUAGGCGGAAUCACUGGGCUUAAAGCGUGUGUAGGCGGGUCGUUAAGUACCUUGUGAAAUCCCACGGCUCACCCGUGGAACGGCUGGGCAUACUGGCGAUCUUGGGCCAACUAGGGGCAACUGGAACAAGCGGUGGAGCGGUGAAAUGCGUAGAUAUCGCUUGGAACGCCGAAGGUGAAAACAGGUUGCUGGGGUUGUGCCGACGCUGAGACACGAAAGCCAGGGGAGCAAACGGG